rnacentral:rRNA from 1 species
CCUACGGGAGGCAGCAGUGGGGGAUAUUGGACAAUGGGCGCAAGCCUGACCCAGCAACGCCGCGUGAGGGAAGAAGGCUUUCGGGUUGUAAACUUCUUUUGGCAGGGACGAAACAAGUGACGGUACCUGACGAAGAAGCCACGGCUAACUACGUGCCAGCAGCCGCGGUAAUACGUAGGGGGCAAGCGUUAUCCGGAUUUACUGGGUGUAAAGGGCGUGUAGGCGGGACUGCAAGUCAGAUGUGAAAAGCAGGGGCUCAACCUGUGGACUGCAUUGGAAACUGUAGUUCUUGAGUGCUGGAGAGGCAGACGGAAUUCCUAGUGUAGCGGUGAAAUGCGUAGAUAUUAGGAGGAACACCAGUGGCGAAGGCGGUUUGCUGGACUGCAACUGACGCUGAGGCGCGAAAGCGUGGGGAGCAAACAGGAUUAGAUACCCCUGUAGUC